rnacentral:misc_RNA from 1 species
UUUCCGUAGGUGAACCUGCGGAAGGAUCAUUAUUGUAUAACCGAGGUGCGAGGGCUGUCGCUGACCCGAAAGGUCGUGCACGCCCGAGUGCCCUCACACACAUCCACCUCACCCCUAUGUGCACCACCGCGUGGGUCCCCCUUUGGCUUGUUCGGAGGGGGGCUUACGUUUUCACACAAACUUUGUAUGCAGUGUAGAAUGUAUUUUUUGUUUUUGCGAUCACGCAAUCAAUACAACUUUCAACAACGGAUCUCUUGGCUCUU